UGUACACUGGAGUGAAUACAAGUGAUUGGCACCCUACUUCAAUGGAGGAUAUCUGAUAUCUAUUAAGGCACUGUUCCAGUGUGUGGAUGGGCCCCACUUUCUGGUAUCUGUUAAGUCACAGUUCCAGUGUGCGUGCUUUAUUUUACACCCCACGUUCCCCUGGCAGGAAGAACCUUACACUUUUAUUGAAAUCAAUUUAAUCUAAACGAGAUUGCUCAAUUUACUGUAGGAGUGUUAAGUUGGGCUCUCUGUGGAACUGCAGAAGAAGUAGAGAGUCACAUAUGUGGAGCGUUUCUCAAACCAAACGGCAUGUUCACAAACUAUUUUUUUCCCUUGUGUCCAACUGUUUUCAUAGGUGUGUCACGCACACUGAUGGCUAUUCACUGUUUACUCUGGAAUGUUAUUGUUAGCAGAUUGAGGACGUGGAAGUUUACUUCCCUGGGCCAGAUUGUACCGAGCCUGUGAGAAUAAAAAGACAGUCGGAAGACGCAAACUGUCUUCAGCGAAGAGUCAUUACACCUCAUCAGAGCCUCCCAUUUUGUUUUCAGAAAAACAACGGAGGAGUGAAUUAUAAAAAACUGCUGAUAAAACAACUAUCCUAGCCGGGCUGAAUGCGCUGUGGCUGAACAAUGGCAAGUUCAUAUACCCAUUCGAUCCUGCGUCGAUUCGGCUCUCUGGACAAAGGCUUGCCUUUGGAAUCUUUCUGGAGGAGUUGGCCCUGCUCCUUCCCAAAUGUGGAGGUGCAGGACCUCCCAAAACAGGAUGCGAAACGACCCGCUUCCUUCCAGAAGCCAUUGUGAUACACGUACACAGAGCUGCUCGAAUGGGACGGGUGACGUUUCCUGACAAACACGGCUCUUUUUUCCCCUCCGUUCGGAUCCCCGCCCUGCCCAGGGCUGCCUGGAGCCGGGGAACAGGUUCGAGAAAAAUGUGAGGGUGGGUCGCUGUGCUGCCCUCUACAAAACAUUUACAGGAGCCCCUCCCAACCAAUUGGGUUUGUGCUUCAGCGUGUGGAAAUCUCUGAACCUUGAGAUCUAAGAAUUAUAUGAUUCUACCAGACAUGUUUGACAAAAAAUUGUGUCUGAAAUAUGCUGCUUCUACGGCAGUAAAUAUACACUCAGUGAGCACUUUAUUAGGUAUCAAUUCUGACUUAUUUGUAUUCUGCUGCUGUAGCCUAUCCGCUUAAGAGGUUUGAUGUGUUGUGUGUUCAGAGAUGCUCUUCUGCAUACCAUUGUUGUAAUGCAUGGUUGUUUGCUUUACUGUCUCCUUCCUGUCAGCUUUGACCAGUCUGGCCAUUCUCCCCUGACCUCUCUCAUUAACAAGACAUUUUUGCCCAAAUAACUGCUGCUCACUGGGUUUAUUAUUUUUUUUUUACACCAUUCUCUGCAAACUCAGGAAACUGUUGUGUGAAAAUCCCAGGAGAUCAGCAGUUUGAGGUCUACCUAAUAAAGUGCUCACUAAGUGUAUAUGUGAAGUUUCACAAAAAAAUACUGUUUAAAAGUAUGAAGAAAUGCUAAAUUUAAAAUGUUUUAUCUGCUUGGACCCCAUUCACUUUGGUAUCUUUGCCAAGGUGCUCUAGCCAUAAACGUACCCAAGCACAGGUUUGAGAAAACAACGACUGGAUCGUGUUUAGCCAGAGCUGAAGACGGGGUGUGUGAGACUGGCUGCCUCUGGAAAAACUUAUCUGCGUUUUUUCCCACACUGUGGUUCUCUCUCAUGGCCAAAGGGAGCCUCCAGCAGUAAAGCAGAACUUUUCCACACUAUGCGAGGACAUUGGCAAUGUUUUGCUAGGCCACACAUUACCCCAGGAAGAGGACAAAAGUAUACUCAUCUACGUCUAACCACAACGCUGACACGUUUUGACUAGUGUCUUCCUCAGACCAUUGACUCUAUAUCCCGGGGCCCAGCAUCCUAACUGAGGAAGGGCUAUGAGUGGUGCCAACGGUGUACUUUUAGACUAUAAAUUCAUCUGAGUUUAUUUAAUAAAUGUCCCAAAAGAUAGGGCGGGGUGUGCCAUUGAGAAAAACAUCUUCCAUGCAACAGAUGCAGUUAUCCAUUUGUUUAUAUAAUCUUGCACUUGUUUUUAAGAGACUAAUCAAAGAACUGUAUUCCAAAGGAAACAUCUUACACUUAAAUGCUGCCAAGUCCCGUCUCCCCCACAUUUGCGAUAGCUAUUAAGACAUGAGACAAUAAACCUGCAACACUUGAAGGUAAAAAAAAAGCUUUAUCUCAUUCUGACACAGUGAGUAGGGGGCCUAAGUGCUGGCCUCUCAUGAAUCAUCUCACUUGUCUUUCUCCUUGCAAGUCGUGCCAGACCAAUAGCAUUGCUUGUCGAGCAGAAGUCUCUACCUCCCAGUUUUGUCUCAUUGAAGGUUUCACCAUCAGUCUGAAUUCAGGAGUUAAACCUGCAGGCACUGUGGGCCUCCAGGACUGGAGUUAAAUCUUCAGACACCGCGGCCCCCCAGAACUAGAAUUAAACCUGUGGGCACUGUAGCCCUCCAGGACUGGAUUAAACCUGCAGACACUGCGGCCCUCCAGGACUGGAUUAAACCUGCAGACACUGUGGCCCUCCAGGACUGAAGUUAAACUUGUGGGCACUGUAGCCCUCCAGGACUGGAGUUAAACCUGCGGACAGUGUAAACACCUCUGUCAUACAGGGGACGAGCUCAAGGCGUUAUUUGUUGGUUAAGCUGCUGUACAACACUCAGUGAGCACUUUAUUAGGUAGACUGGUACACCAGCUUGCUAAUGCAAAUAUUUCAUCAGCCAAUCAUGUGGCAUGGCAUGCAGACAUGGUGAAGAGGUUCAGCUGUUAUUCAGACCAAACGUCAGAAUGGGGAAGAAAUGUGAUCUACAUGACUCUGACUGUGGAAUGAUUGUUGGUGCCAGACAGGGUGGUUUGAGUAUGGCUGAUCUCCUGGAAUUUUCACGAGUUUGCAGAGAAUGGUGUGAAAAACAAAAAAAAAUCCAGUGAACAAGUUCAGAGGAGAAGGGUCAGACUGGUCAAGGCUAACAGGAAAGUGACAAUAACACAAAUAACCACACAUUACAACAGUGGUACGCAGAAGAGCAUCCCUGAACACACAAUGUGUCAAACCUGUGUGUGUCAAAAGUGGAUAGGCUACAGCAGCAGAAGUCUAUCUUCAUUCAUAAAAUCUCAGUCAAAGGGAUGCUUUUUCUCUUACAGCAUUGCUCUUUCAGGGGAGAAAAUAGAAACAUUUCAGAAGCAUUAAAAUUAACAAUAGGCCCUAUAUGAUGACUUUAUUUUCUAGACAGGUGAACUGGCUGCAGUAUGCUUGUGUUUCAGGGCU